rnacentral:rRNA from 1 species
GUGGGGAAUAUUGGGCAAUGGACGCAAGUCUGACCCAGCAACGCCGCGUGAAGGAAGAAGGUUUUCGGAUUGUAAACUUCUUUUAUUCGGGACGAAGAAAGUGACGGUACCGAAUGAAUAAGCCACGGCUAACUACGUGCCAGCAGCCGCGGUAAUACGUAGGUGGCAAGCGUUGUCCGGAUUUACUGGGUGUAAAGGGCGAGUAGGCGGGAUUGCAAGUCAGAUGUGAAAUGCCGGGGCUUAACCCCGGAGCUGCAUUUGAAACUGUAGUUCUUGAGUAUCGGAGAGGCAGGCGGAAUUCCCGGUGUAGCGGUGGAAUGCGUAGAUAUCGGGAGGAACACCAGUGGCGAAGGCGGCCUGCUGGACGACAACUGACGCUGAGGAGCGAAAGCGUGGGGAGCAAACAGGA